rnacentral:rRNA from 1 species
UACGUAGGGCGCAAGCGUUAUCCGGAAUUAUUGGGCGUAAAGAGCUCGUAGGCGGUUUGUCGCGUCUGCCGUGAAAGUCCGGGGCUCAACUCCGGAUCUGCGGUGGGUACGGGCAGACUAGAGUGAUGUAGGGGAGACUGGAAUUCCUGGUGUAGCGGUGAAAUGCGCAGAUAAUCAGGAGGAACACCGAUGGCGAAGGCAGGUCUCUGGGCAUUAACUGACGCUGAGGAGCGAAAGCAUGGG